UAUAAAAGCAUUUUCUGUUGAUGUGCAGGGACUUGACUUGAUGCAGCUGGCUGGCCAUGGUUGCAGAUCUCAAGUUACGGUUAGUUCUCUGCUCGUCCUAACUAAACCCAUCUUGGCUGGAGCAGUGUCUGGAAGUUUGUUUCAGGUCAACAAGAGGUGUUCCAAAGAUGAAAGGACUUUGUAUUUCAAGAUGGUAAUUCCCGAAGCAGCAGGAGACAGAAUUAUCACCACUGCGAGAGAAGAUUUAGGGACGGCAGUAGAAUGCAAGCGGCAGAUCUCAUGAGAGCUCAGCGAAAUGACAGAGCUGGAAAAGCUUAUAACCCGACGAUGCCACUUGAUUCAUACAAACUGGCAGAAAUUCACUAGUGUUUCUAAUUUCUCCUUGUUUCCAAAACCACCUUGCUGGAAAAGCUUAUAACCUGACGAUGCCACUUGAUUCAUACAAACUGGCAGAAAUUCACUAGUUUUUCUAAUUUCUCCAUGCUUCCAAAACCACCUUGCUGGGCACCUUACCAGAGUGGUUUCUGAUACUGAAACCAGGACACUGAACAGAUACUAAGACAAACUUACCUUUUCUACAGCUUUUGCAUUAAUUAACGGGCCUUGAGUAGUUCUCUCGUCAAAUCCAUUACCCACAUGCAGGUUUGUUUUAAUUGCCUCAGCAAAUUUUUUCACAAAAGAGUCAUGGAUACCGCUUUGGACCAAGAAACGGUUGGAGCACACACAAGUCUAGACAGAAAGAAACAAACUCAUGUCGACAGUUCAUCAGAAGCUACUGACCCAACCAAUAAACCUAUGAUUGCUGCUACCUCUGAAUGUAAAUGUACUUCCCAGGUGGUCCCUGUCCUGGGUCCCACCUCCAUACUCGAGCUUGGCCCUAAAGAGAACCAUGCCAAGAGCAUGUACUUCUCCAGGCCCCUCCACAGCCACCACACCUCUGUGGUUAAACAGAUUGUGGGCUCCAGACCCUAGCUGUUCAGGCUAUUUUUUAUCUGAGGAGAUGUUUAAACCUGUUCAGCAGAGAAAAGUCCAGCAAGGGAAAACUAUGAAAAUAACCAGAUUCAAAGAGAUGAAAGAAGAAAACUUCCGAUUUGAUUAAAAGGCAUCUGCUGUUCAAGAAAAUUUCCUUGAAGCCAGGGAUGAAGACACCUUAUUUCCCUUCAUACCCUCUGAGCCUAGCAGAGUCCCAGACAAAGAGAGGGCACUCACUAAACAUCCGAUGAAAGAGGACACGCACGAAGAAUGAAGGAAGGAACCCAGAAGUGCCCUUUCUCCCAGGAGGUGAGGGAGGGGGUAGGAUCUUUGUAAAGCACACAACCCAGAAAAAUGCUCCAGGACUCACCUGUCCAGAGUUCCUGAAUUUGGAGGCCAUGGCCCCGGCGACAGCCUGGUCCACGUUGGCACUGUCGAAGACGAUGAAAGGGGCAUGGCCACCCAGCUCCAUGGACACCCUCUUCACAGAGUUUGCUGCGUGGUGCAACAGGACCUGGGAGCAGACAGAGGAUGCCAGGAGCACCCAAUCAACAACAGGGACCAAUUAUGAAAGAAACACACACUUGAGUGUUAUGGGAAUACGAUGGACAACUUUCAGCUACUUCACAUACAACAAAUAAUGGAAUCUUGUCUACCCUUAAACCUUCAGUUUUGUCAAACAGGAACCUAGAUCAUGUCACAAUGAGGAACACCAUCCACAUAUUUCUAGAAGAUGAUCAGACAUUACGAUAUGGGACAGAGCUUCUAACACUCUGCUGGAAACCUUUCUCCAAAUGGUGACUGAGAUGAAGUAGUAUUUUUGAUACUGUAUAAAGUUAUUAGAAUGACACUUGUUUCCUUUGAGACUUAAGUCACAUACCUUUCCAGUGGCUGUCGAACCAGUAAAGGAAAUUUUAGAUACGAGAGGAUCUGUACAAAGUGCUUCCCCUACUUCCUUGGCCUUCUUUUGAGAGCAAGGAAUCACGUUGUACACACCUGGGGGAAUUCCAGCCUGGUUUGCAAGCUAUAAAGAGAAACAGCAAACAUGUGGCAGCAAAUGAUCAAACUGGAAAAACAGAAAAGAGAAAUAAAUGUUUUAACCCAGAAAGUAAUGGCAAAAAAACAAAACAAACAAAAAAAAAAACAUAGGCUGACUUUGGGGACAGAAUAUAUUUAGAACUGAAAUAAGAUUCUUACUAGUGCUAAUGUGGUAUUAAGGCUUCUCUGGUGGCUCAGAUGGUAGUCUGCCUGCAAUGGAGACCCGGGUUUGAUCCCUGAGUCAGGAAGAUCUCCUAGAGAAGGAAAUGGCAAUGCACUCCAGUGCAUUUCUUGCUGGGAAAAUCACAUGGACAGAGGAGCCUGGUGGGCAGCACUCCAUGGGGUUGCAGAGAGUCAGACACGACUGAGCGACAAUGUGGUAUUAAUAUAUUGCAAGUUUCUGCAUGAGUUUUAAGCAGUAUUUUACCAUAUGCAUGUGUGUGUACACACAUGUAUGUAUAUUUCCCAGCCAUGCCACUAAUAAGGCCUAGAAACAGUGACCAGCCAGUAGCAAUGACCAUCCCUGGUGCCCUAAGUGUAGCCUUAAAAUAUCAUUUCCUACCAGAGGAAAUAAAGGCUUUCUGCAGAAAUGGUUAAUCCCAGGUCUGGGACAAGAAAUAUAUAUGAUAAGUCUAAAACAUCUUGUCAUACUAGAUAGCAAAGAAGGUCUCAAAAACUAUUAGAG